ensembl:lncRNA
CAUCAUUUGGCAUAAGCAAUACAACUGUUCAACGGGGCCAAGACUCAGGAGGAAUCAUCAUUUGGCAUAAGCAAUACAACUGUUCAACGGGGCCAAGACUCAGGUGGAAUCAUCAUUUGGCAUAAGCAAUACAACUGUUCAACGGGGCCAAGACUCAGGAGGAAUCAUCAUUUGGCAUAAGCAAUACAACUGUUCAACGGGGCCAAGACUCAGGUGGAAUCAUCAUUUGGCAUAAGCAAUACAACUGUUCAACGGGGCCAAGACUCAGGUGGAAUCAUCAUUUGCCAUAAGCAAUACAACUGUUCAACGGGCCCAAGACUCAGGUGGAAUCAUCAUUUGGCAUAAGCAAUACAACUGUUCAACGGGGC